ensembl:lncRNA
CCAGGGGCAACAGAGAGAGAGAUAAGCUGCUUCUAAUGGCCGGGAAACGGUCUUUUUGUGUGGACUUAUCUCAAGGAAAAUGGCCAUCUCAGGAGGUAUGCACAUGACUCUUGCUCAAGCACCCAGGAAUGUCACGUAGGCAGCAGAAAAUGGAGGAUAAAAGAGGGUCCAACAACCACGGCGUCGUGGAGGCUGAUCUCUCAGCGCAACACGGAGGCUGAUCUCUCAUGAUCUCUCACCACGACACGAGCUUUCUGCCUUCAGAUCCUUCUCUACCGACCGUUUGCUGACGGACUUCCCUGGGCCUGCUACCUGAGACCUGCUGCUUCCUCCCUGACCUGCACCCUCUCGUUGCCCAAGACCGGCCUCACUGCUCCUGCCUUUCGGCCUCGGACCAUCGGAACGUCGUGCAACGGGACUGCUGCUGGAUCCUGGUGUUUACGGGAUUUUAAAAGAAAAUGGAAAAAUUCUUGGAAGACAAAUCCAUCAAGGACUGCUUAUUCCAAAGCCACCAUCUUUGCAUCAAGAAGGAUGCUCACCUGGAGAGUUUCAAGUUUCUUUCUUUCAAUGUUCUGAGAAUUUAUAUGGAAAGAAAUUUCAUCUGUACAAUUUACUACACACAUUUAUGGUCCUUUUUGAAGGAAGGAAAGCACAAGGCACAAGGCAAAGAAUUUUGCAAGUGCAAAAUAAAUGUUGCUGAAUGAAGGAGAAUGGAGAAAAAUAUACUGCUUUGAGGCAUUUAGGUGAGAAAGCUGUCUGAAGGAUUACCUUAGGAUAUGGAAUAUGUUAGCACACGGGGGUUGUUUUUUUUUAAUUGCUUAUCACUAAUAGAAAUGAUUUCUAAUUGUUAAAAAAAUUAGAAUAUCUUUUUAGAGAAAGCUACCAAGUGCAAC